UACGGGGGGAGCAAGCGUUGUUCGGAUUUACUGGGCGUAAAGGGCGCGUAGGCGGUCGUGACAAGUCACUUGUGAAAUCUCCGGGCUUAACCCGGAGCGGCCAAGUGAUACUGUCGUGCUAGAGUGCGGAAGGGGCUACUGGAAUUCUCGGUGUAGCGGUGAAAUGCGUAGAUAUCGAGAGGAACACCUGCGGCGAAGGCGGGUAGCUGGGCCGACACUGACGCUGAGGCGCGAAAGCCAGGGGAGCGAACGGG
rnacentral:rRNA from 1 species